rnacentral:rRNA from 1 species
CCUACGGGUGGCAGCAGUGGGGAAUAUUGCACAAUGGGGGAAACCCUGAUGCAGCGACGCCGCGUGAGUGAAGAAGUAAUUCGUUACGUAAAGCUCUAUCAGCAGGGAAGAAAUACUUACCUUACGGUCAGCAGACGGUACCUGAGUAAGAAGCCCCGGCCAACUCCGUGCCAGCAGCCGCGGUAAUACGUAGGGGGCAAGCGUUAUCCGGAUUUACUGGGGGUAAAGGGAGAGUAGACGGUGCGCCAAGUCUGGAGUGAAAUGCCGCGGCUUAACUGCGGAACUGCUUUGGAAACUGGCGAACUAGAGUGCGGGAGGGGUAAGCGGAAUUCAUGGUGUAGCGGUGAAAUGCGUAGAGAUUAGGAGGAACACCGGUGGCGAAGGCGGCUUACUGGACCGUAACUGACGUUGAGGCUCGAAAGCGUGGGGAGCAAACAGGAUUAGAUACCCGAGUAGUC